rnacentral:rRNA from 1 species
UACAGAGGUCUCAAGCGUUGUUCGGAUUCAUUGGGCGUAAAGGGUGCGUAGGCGGCGCGGUAAGUCGGGUGUGAAAUCUCGGGGCUUAACUCCGAAACUGCAUUCGAUACUACCGUGCUUGAGGACUGGAGAGGAGACUGGAAUUCCUGGUGUAGCGGUGAAAUGCGCAGAUAUCAGGAGGAACACCGGUGGCGAAGGCGGGUCUCUGGGCCGAUACUGACGCUGAGGAGCGAAAGCGUGGGGAGCGAACAGG